ACUAGAUAGGAAGCCAGGUGCCUCACAUCUUCUUUUGAGUUACUAAAGCUCUUAUCAAUAUCUCUGAAUUCGCUCUUCUUAAUCUCUUGAAAUUGAGUUUCAGUUCUAGAUCAAAAUUUAGUUUUGAUCCACAGAAAAAACAAGGAAGGAUAGUCCUCUCUCAUCCCAUUAUUUGUCCCAAAUCCGAAUGAUAAGUUGAGAAAGGUUGAGCGAGCUCAUUUAUACGGUCAAUUGCUAUUUCUUGAUCAAUUCGUUGAUCAUGAUGACGAGGAAGACAAUCAGAGACAUGUUGCUCGCCUCUUCACCAUAAACAUAGAGGGUGUAAUGCAAUUCAGCGCUCGUGGACUUAUCGGGGGCUACAUUUACAUGUCUCGUUAAUAGAGGGAUUUUCUAUGCUUUCAAUUCCAGCAUGAAGAAGGUUGCAAGACUCCCCAAGGCGCAACCUCCACUUGCGGUGGACUCGAUGUAGGAUUUGGCUACAUUCAAUCAGCAAAUGAAUACAAGGUGGUUUAUAUGUAUAACAUUCAAAAUGAAGAUGUGAGAUCAUGACUUUAUCAGAUGGCGGCGCAGUAAGUUCUAACUCAUGGAAACAACUCGAGAAUGAUUGCCCCGCCAUGGUUUCUAGUUGGGGCGUUUUUGGGACAAGAAGUUUUACUGGAUGGUGUGGGAAGGAUACAACCAAACAGUGGAUCAAUUUUUCAUCUCACAGGAUAUUUCAUAUGUGGAAGGAAACGACAUGUUUUUAGUGGAAAUUCAAGGGCAGCUGUGUUUGGUGGACACUUUUGGGUUUCCCCCAAUCACAAAUGUGUGGAAUCUGAAAGAUUCGGUGAAGAAGAAAUGGGUGAAUGAGUAAACCAUUGAUUUAAAUAAGUUGGAAGGAUUUGAUGAUGAGAGGAUACUCUUCAACUAAGUUAAAUCAAUGGUAUACUCUUUCACCCAUAUCUUCUUCACCGGAUCUUUCAGAUUCCACACAUUUGUGAUUGGAGGAUACCCAAAAGUCGCCACCAAACACAGCUGCCCUUGAAGUUCCACUAAAAACAUGUUGUUUCCUUCCACAUAUGAAGUCACAUGUGGAUGAGGAAUGAAAUUGAAUGCUUCUGUCCCCGAAUCCUAUGAGAUGAAUAAUUGAUCCACCGUUGGGUUGCAUCCUUCCCACACCAUCCAGUAAAACUUCUUGUCCACCAAAACACCCCAACUUAAGACCAUGGCGGUGCACUCAUUCUCCAGUUGUUUCCAUGAGUUGGAACUUAUACUGCGCCGCCAUCUGAUAAAGUCAUGAUCUCACAUUUGAUGGUGUACUCCAGUUCUUCUUCAUUUUGUAUGUUAUACACAGAAACCAGCUUGUAUUCAUUUGUUGAUUGAAUGUAACUAAAUCCUGCAUCGACUCCACUGCAAGUGGAAGGUUGCGCCUUGGGGAGUCUUUCAUAGUACUUAUACCCCUCACUAGUUAGACAGUCCCCCAAACAUUAGGGUACAUUAAUUCCGAAGGAGUUGUGUAUUGUGCUUCAGAUUUUGAGAAAGAAAGCUAAUGGUGCUUUCCUUUUUAACAUAAAGAUAAUUUUUCACUAGAAUAUCAAUCUUUGUUUUUAAAUCUUUGAAAACAAGAUUCAAUAUAGAAAGUUGUGGGUG